rnacentral:rRNA from 1 species
AUUGAACGCUGGCGGCAGGCUUAACACAUGCAAGUCGAGCGAGCGGCGGACGGGUGAGUAAUGUCUGGGAAACUGCCUGAUGGAGGGGGAUAACUACUGGAAACGGUAGCUAAUACCGCAUACCAUCAGAUGUGCCCAGAUGGGAUGAGCUAGUAGGUGGGGUAAUGGCUCACCUAGGCGACGAUCCCUAGCGGGUAUGAGAGGAUGACCAGCCACGCUGGAACUGAGGCACGGUCCAGAUGCCUACGGGAAGCAGCAGUGGGGAAUAUUGCACGAUGGGCGCAAGCCUUAUACAGCCAUGCCGCUUGUGUGAAGAAGGCCUUCGGGUUGUAAAGCGCUUGCAGCGAGGAGGCGUUACUCGCAGAAGAAGCACCGGCUAACUCCGUGCCAGCAGCCGCGGUAAUUC